GGUGAAAAGCACCCCGGAAGGGGAGUGAAAUAGAACCUGAAACCGUGUGCUUACAAGUAGUCAGAGCCCGUUAAUGGGUGAUGGCGUGCCUUUUGUAGAAUGAACCGGCGAGUUACGAUUUGAUGCAAGGUUAAGCAGUAAAUGUGGAGCCGUAGCGAAAGCGAGUCUGAAUAGGGCGUUUAGUAUUUGGUCGUAGACCCGAAACCAGGUGAUCUACCCUUGGUCAGGUUGAAGUUCAGGUAACACUGAAUGGAGGACCGAAC
rnacentral:rRNA from 1 species